UUUCCCUCCAAAACAAUCCUAACCUUAACCAAUCUCCAUCUUGAGCAGUUGGAUGGCUUGACAUUCCCAUGGUGUUGAUCUGUGCAUGUAAUUGUUUGGACAGAUAAACAUCAAACCACAGCAAUCUGGAAACUGCACCCAAGGAUGAACCACACCUGUGGAGGCCCACAAAUGUCUUCCUGAUGUCUUGGCUGAUUUCUUUAGAUUUUCUAAUGUCGUCACACAAGGAAGCAGUGUGUUUGAGGUGUGCCUGAAAAUACAUCUUAAUCUAUCAAAAGCUUUCAAAGUCAGGACAUCAUUAUCUUUAAGGCAUAGCAAUCUUAGUGUGUGCAAACUUCUGAUUGUAGAAUAGAAUAGAAUUACUUCAUUGAUCCCCGAAGGGAAAUUCAAUUGUUUGGUCUUAUCUUUUUGCUUUUGAAUUAAACAGUCCGAUUGCUGAUGGCAAGAAAGAUUUCCUGAAUCUUUCUGUCCUGCAGCAGGGAUAGGAGCCGUCCACCGAUGUUUUGUUGUUCGCUGAGCCAAAUGUGAAGUGGAUGAUCCAUGUUUGUCAGAAUGGCCUCCAUCUUGUUCAGUUCCCCCUCUCUCCACCUCAUCCUCCAGUGUGUUCAAUCCGAUUCCAACUACAGAGCCAAUAAGUUUGUUCAGACGCCUUGCAUCCUGAGAGGGGUCUGGCUGCAGACCUCCACUCUCAGGACUCUUCCUUGCACACCUGCACUGUAAAGUCUCCUCCACUCUCAGGACCGGAAGUUUAUUCGAAGCCUUUCAAAAUAAAAGCGAGCAUGCCGGAAGCACGUAUUUUGUGUUUCCCAUGUGAAGUACGGAGACAACAAAGUGAGUAAAAGUCAAGUGACAACUUUUUGUUAUACGAAGAAACAGAAACAGCCUUUAUUCACUACAACAUUACGUUGCACACUAUAGACCCCUUUCACAUGACGUAUGCAUACUUAAUUCGGCAGCUGCACGCACAGACCCGGUUCAAAACAAAGCCUGUUUACCUGGCCAAGGCGUGAUAUUGCAAGCACAUAUUACGCUAAAUAUGCCUUCUUGUUGUGCUGUCGGCUGUCAGAAUCGUAGUAAAGCAGAUGAUAUGGCAGCUGUGAGAGCGACCAGGUGGAACUUGCUUUGUUACCGCGGCUAAACAUUUGGUUUACUUAAUACUGAUUUCCACGUUCUCCGGAGCAGUCGUUACGUUGAUAUUACAGUUCCUGCUGAUAUACCGGAAAUGCCCUGAGCCCAUUAGCAGGACAGUGCAGUAUGUCAAAGUAGUGCCUGAUAACGCAUUGAAGGAUUACUUUAAUACCCAACAUGCCGAACCAGGCCAGCAGCAACAGGACAGCACAUCAUCUGCUGCAUCCAAACAGCAAGAGGCUGUGUCCAGCAGGCAGCAGGAGGCGGGUGUCAGCAGCGGCAGCCCCAAACAACAGCUGCCACCGCCUUCUCAAAGCGAACCCAUUGAUUCGGCCAAAGCCGAGACGUGCAAUUUCCUAAACGCUAUCUUUCUGUUCUUGUUCAGGGAACUCCGAGACACCCCAGUCAUCAGACACUGGCUCACCCAUUAAAUUAAAGUGGAAUGUGGAGGAGCUCCUGCACCGGGUCUGCGCGCGCAUACCUUGUGUUAGUAAACACUGCAAGGGGUCUAUACAUCGCCCUGUUAAGUUAUAUUAAUUUGAAAGAAUCGAGUUUUGGACUUUACGGUAGUUUGUAGCGUUGUUAUCGUAGUUAGGCUAACGGUAGCUAGCGCUAACCAGGUUGAUUCACUCGGUUGAUUAGCCUCUGAAGGCACUCUGUACUAUUUAGACAUAUAUGGGAUUAGCUUGACAUUAGAAGGCUUUCACUGUCAUUUGCAAACAGCAUUUGCACAAAAAUUAUUUUGUCCCGGGCAUUUUGAUCCAUAUAAGCGGUUGAUAAGUAACGUUAUCCAUGAUCACUACAACGUUAACUGGUUUCCACUGUAUAAUAACUUGUUGAAGUCAUCUUGUGCCCGCGAUAGUGCUCACUAAAAUGUGCCAUUGUCCUGCUAGAAGACCAAAACAACUGAGUCACCAUACAUAUUUUUGUAUAAUUUUGUUUGACUUAUUACGACAUAAUUUUUCUCUUGCAGAUGCAUAUUUCAGUCCUAACAGCUGGCAGCACACCCAAAAUUGAACGCUGCAAGACAUGCUGCAAACAAUUCCACUGUCCGCUGUGCCUAAAGUUUAAACCUGCCAAACUGUCCAAGCUGCAGAGCCACUUGGAGGCACACAAAAAAGGUGGCAUUUUAUUUAAAGAAACCUUUGCCAGUCAAUUAAUCCCGGAGUGUGGAAUGAGAAGACUGGCUUAGACAUACAGGGAUUUCCACGACAGCCCUAUGGGCAGGACUGUGGCAUCUUCAUGCUGAUGUAUGCCCUUUACACAGUUCUGGACGCUCCAUAUGAUUUCACCAUAGCUGACAUGCCAACCCUGUGAAAAUGGUGGUGUGUCAUGCUCAUUGAAAACUUUGAUCUUGGAAGCCAUGGUAAAAUGUUUGCCCAUUGGACACACAUGUCAAAAGCCCUUCUGGCAGGUGAGGUGCCACCAGUUUUUAGACUGAAGCAAAAACUGGAUGACAUGACUGAGGCUGAGGAGAGGAAGAAAAUGUGCCACCAGGUAGAGACAACGGAACCAGCUCACCAGGUGGAGACAACUGAAGAAGAGACCAGUAUGGUGGGCCAAGUUGUGGCCCACUGCAAACAAGCAGCGGAAUGGGUGCAGGGGAACCCACAACUGUUUACAGCCAGGGUGGAGAUGCCAGAAAUUUGAAACAUGGACAGCAGAUCUAUUGAGGAGGCUCAACAGCAACUGGCAAACUUGUUUGAUGCCACCCAGGACAUUGAUGAUGAUGAGAAAGAAUUCAUUCUGGAGCCCUUCAAGUUUUUAUUUUGCAACAUUGAGGAUAUGUUUGUCUUCUGUGAAGAGGUUAUGGAUAACCGACGCAACAGGUUGCAGGUUUGCAAGGAAGGGUCCUAAAAGUGGAGGUCUGCAGCCAGACUGUCUUGUGCAUCCUUGUUCUUUAUACUGCCUCCCCAGCAGACUUCAGCAUAAAACAGGACACCUGCUACCACAGACUGAUAAAACAUCUGCAGCAUCUUACUGGCAGAUGUCUAUUGAUCGAAGUCUUCUGAGGAAAAAAAGUCGGCUCUGGCCCUUUUUGUAGAUCAAAUCUGCAUUUUUAGACCAGUCUAAUUCAUUGUCAAGGUGGACACCUAAAUAUUUAUAUGAUGUCACCACCUCCAUGUCAACACCACAAGUGUUCACUGGAUGAAGAGGGGUUUUGAAUCUGCGGAAAUCUAUGAUCAUUUCCUUUGUCUUUGAGGCGUUGAGAAGCAGGCAGUUUUUGAGACUCCAGUCACUGAAGGCACUUAUCAGAUCUCUGUAUUCAGCUUCAUGUCCAUUUCUGAUACAUGCCACGAUAGCAGUGUCAUCAGAGUAUUUCUGAAUGUGGCAGGACUCAGUGCUGUAUUUGAAGUCAGAUGUAUACAGAGUGAACAGGAAUGGAGCCAGAACUGUUCCUUGUGGAGCCCCAGUACUACUCAUUAAUGUCUCAGAAACACAGUUCCCCAGCCUGACAAACUGCAGCCUUCCUGUCAGGUAAUCUGUGAUCCAUGAAACACAGAAAGGAUCCACUCCCAUCUCUGUGAGCUUGUCUUUGAGGAUGGUGGGUUGGAUGGAGUUGAAUGCAUUAGAAAAAUCAAAUAACUUGAUUCUCACAUAAACUUCAGGUUCCUCCAGAUGAGACAGGGCACGGUGAAGCAUGAAGAGGAUGGCAUCAUCCACUCCAAUGUGUUCUUUGUAAGCAAACUGCAAGGAACCGAGUUUGUCUUUGACCUCAAGCCUCAGUAGAGGUAAAACCAGCUGCGCCAGAGUUUUUAUGAUGUGUGAGGUCAGAGCAAUAGGUCUGUAGUCAUUUAGUUCAGCCGGACAUUUGAUUUUUGGUACCGGUACAAUACAGGAUGUUAUUCAUAGAGCAGGCAGCCUUUGCAGGUAGGACUGUGUCUCUACAGAAGCUGAUGUAUUCACUAAAACAAUUAACCUGUCUGUCAGUGUUCAUACUGUCCUCGUCUGUUUCCAGAAGCACAUUCCAGUCUGUUGAUUCAAAGCAGUCCCUUAGAGCUUCACUAGCUUGAGGAGUCUGUCCUCUGAUUUGGACUUUAGUUGCAGACUGUCUCAGCACACAAGGUUUGUAACAGGUCUGCAGAUGAACCAGGUUAUGAUCUGACCUGCCCAGUGGUGGUAAGGCAGUAGCUCUGUAAGCUUCUUUGACAUUGGCAUACAGCAGGUCUAGGGUUUUAUUCUCUCUGGUAGGGCAGUUAAACUGUGUAAAUCCAGUCAGAUGAGAUGAGAGGCUGAUAUGAUUGAAAUCUCCUGAUAUUAUUACAAGUGCCUCAGGAUGUUGAGUCUGUAUCCUAGCAACAGUAUCACGAAAAGCAUCACAUGGAACCAAGUCAGUUACCUUGGGUGGAAUGUAUACAAGUAUUGUUAUGAUGUGACCCUUGGAACAUAGUAUGGCUAAAGUCCAUAGUCAAGUCCAAGAUUGUGAAGAAAGUAAUAAAAAUUCUAUUAAAAAAAUCUCUUUCCUUAUUCUGGCAUUUAAAGAUAAUUUUGGUCAUCUUAACUGACAUAAAACAGGAGAAGCAUUGCCAGAUUUAAUGUCAGAUCGUGUAAAUUAAAAAAAGGGUUAUGUGUCAUUCAUACAGUGUAAGUAAACUUCUGGGUUCAACUGUCUGAAUUUCUUGAGAAGGAAAAGGCUGGUAAACUCACAAUGCUCAAAAGUAUUAUUCUCUACCAAAGAAAAUGCUGCUCUUUACCUUCCUGAACAACUUGCUUGAAAAACAAGACUUUUCUUCCGUUACUUAUCUUCAUCACCAUGUAA